ensembl:lncRNA
AAUUUAAAAAGCUAACACACAAUAAUAUUUCCUUUGAGCUGGCACUAAGUGCCGUAAGUAUCUUGACUCCUUUCAUUCUUAAACCAACUGUAAUAUAUUUGCUACAUGGACUGUAAUUCACUUUGCCAUAUUAAAUGUCCUUUUAUACCUCUUCUUUUCUAUAGCUUAAUGAUAAAAAGCUUUGCAUUAAUGUUAUCAUUAUGGGUUUCCUAAUGCACUCAACCAGUUCUCUUCUGGGAAAAUAUCUGAUGGCAGAAACUUCCUCUCCCUGACAACCAGAGAGUGGAGGCUGACACGGUUCCACUGGAGGCAGGUUGAAUAAAAAUUGGCCUCGGUGCCUUUAAGUCCCCCUGAUUACAAACAGAUGCUUUUUAUCCUUUGCAGUUUGGUCUGGCUUAGUAAAGCUAUUAAUCAUUAAAGGAAGGGUCCAUGCUACUUUCACAGCAGAAGGUGCAGCUUGGGCUAGAAUCUUCCUUCCAUCAUCUCCAGUGAUGAAGUUUCCAGAUUGAAGCAAUGGAAAUAUCAGUGGUGUGGCAUUCCUGGAGUUCAUUCUCUUGGCUCCCCAGGGAAAGCUAGACUUGGCUUCGGGUUGUUGCAGCAUAAAGUUUCUCACUCAGCAGGAAAAUCCACCAGAGACUCAGGCCAGCGACUGUAUUGCUGUGAAUAUAAAAGCACCAUGCAUACAACAAUGAAAGGUUUUGUAUUAUGGGAAAAGUCCUGGAGCUUGAAGAAAGAACUUCUGUUAAUUUGCAGGUAAACCACUCCCAGAACACUAACAGGAAAGAUGGGUCGGUUAAAAGGAGGAGAGCAAAACAAAGGAAUGAGGACUAGUGACACAGGAAAUCCUACCAUGGAAGGGAUUGACCUGGAAUUCAAGGGGGAAGGAAAAACGCUUUCUCCUUAAACCCAAAGCAUCUUCAAGGUAAAAGCAGCUCUUUCUGUUUCCAGGGAAGGCCGAAUGAAGUCACUGAAGAUGGGGGUGGGAUGUGGGGGCCUUUGUGAGGCCCGGGGGCAGUA